rnacentral:rRNA from 1 species
UUAAAUUGAAGAGUUUGAUCAUGGCUCAGAUUGAACGCUGGCGGCAGGCCUAACACAUGCAAGUCGAGCGGAAACGACACU